GACGAACGCUGGCGGCGUGCUUAACACAUGCAAGUCGAACGGUGAAGCGCCUUCCUUUUUGGUGGGUGUGGAUGAGUGGCGAACGGGUGAGUAACACGUGAGUAACCUGCCCCCUUCUUCUGGAUAACCGCAUGAAAGUGUGGCUAAUACGGGAUAUUCUGGGUCUGUCGCAUGAUGGGUCUGGGAAAGAUAUUGUUUCGGUGGGGGAUGGGCUCGCGGCCUAUCAGCUUGUUGGUGGGGUGAUGGCCUACCAAGGCGGUGACGGGUAGCCGGCCUGGGGGGGGGGCGUGCCAACUGGGAACGACGCACGGGCCAAGCCCCGUAGGGGGGGCGGGGGGGGGGAAGAUUCAACAAGGGGGCAAGCCGUGAUGCGGCGACGCGGGGGGGGGAGGGGGGGCUUCGGGUUUGUGACCUUUUUCGCCAGGGAAAAAGGCCCGCCUUCUUUUGGGGGUGGGUGGGGGGGAGUGGAAAAAAAGCAGCGGCCAAACACCG
rnacentral:rRNA from 1 species